UACGUAGGGGGCAAGCGUUGUCCGGAGUUACUGGGCGUAAAGGGCGUGUAGGCGGGUGCCCGCAUUUGCAGUGACAGUGCUCGGCUUAACUGAGCAAGGUCUGACAACGAUGGGGCAUCUGGAGGACCAGAGAGGGACAUAGAAUUCCGGGUGGAGUGGUGAAAUGCGUAGAUAUCCGGAGGAAUACCAAAGGCGAAGGCAGUGUCCUGGCUGGAACCUGACGCUGAGGCGCGAAAGCUAGGGGAGCGAA
rnacentral:rRNA from 1 species